ACGUCCGAUAUACAAUAUUCAUGUUGUUAAUGUGGACACAUGAACAAGCUUAACGUUGAGUACCCUUAGAAGUUAUAUUCACAAAUAAUAUAUAAUAUAUUGUUAAAUAAACUUAAAUGUGAAACACUCACAUCAAAUAUAUAUAUUCAUGGGAUUCUUAAAAGAGAAAAAGACAAAAAUAGCACUAAAUCAAGUUUUUGUUCACAAACUAGCACUCAAAGUCAAAAGUCACAAAAAUAGCACUUAAUGUUUUAUCAAAAGUCACAAACUUAGGGUUUAGAGUUAAAGGGUGGGGUUUAGAAUUUAGGGUUUAGGGUUUAGGGUUUAGGGUUUAGAGUUUAGGGUUUAGGGUUUAGGGUUUAGGGUUUAGAAUUUAGGGUUUAGGGUUUAGAUUUUAGGGUUUAGGGUUUAGAGUUUAGGGUUUAGGGUUUAGAGUUUAGGGUUUAGGGUUUAGAGUUUAUGGUUUAGGGUUUAGAGUUUAUGGUUUAGGGUUUAGAGUUGAGAAAUGAGGUUUUGGGGAUAAGAUAUAAACUUAGAAAGGUGCUAUUUUGGUCAUUUUUGUUUUUGAGUGCUAUUUUUGUGAUAUAAACUAAGAAAUGCGCUAUUUUGGACAUUUGCCCUUCUUAAAACUUACAAUCGAGUUUAGCUGUAUUAGUCGGCAGUCGGCAUAUAGGUUUUGUGUUACAAUUUUCGUAUGAUUGUUAAAUGCAAGCUCAACUAACAUUACAUUACUCAAAUAUUAUAAACUAAUCGAUUAGGGCUGGGCAUUUUAUCUGAUACCCGAAAAAUCCGAACCUGAAUCCGAACCAAAGUAAUAAAAUAUCCAAACAUGUUUUGUAUUGAACAAGUUUGGAUACGCGAACCUGAUCGAGUAUAUCUGAAAUCCGAAGUAAUAUCCGAAGUCAUCUGAACAUAUUUAUAUUUUAACCCAAAUCUACAUCUUUCAUCUAAUAUGUAAUGACUGGUUCUCUUAACCGAUUUUGGUUUAAUUAAUAUUAUAUAAAAUCAAUACUGAAUCACUAUUUUUCCCUAACCUAAACGUGUGCACAUAUAUAUAAAUGUAUCUCCUUAUUACACGUGAGAGAUUAAGGGACCAUCUGCAUCUCCCA
rnacentral:lncRNA from 1 species